rnacentral:rRNA from 1 species
AUGGGUAAGCUGCUGCGGCAGCUCGAUCUGUUUCUUCCUCCCCGGCAGCACCGCAACCGACGUCCAACACCACCAACAGCAGUCCUCGUGCUCCUGAACGCCCUCCCCCAGGCCGCGGCCGCCCAUGGGCAUCGCCUUCCUCUUCUCUGGGCGCCCAACCGCACUGGGACUCUGUCGCGGCGAUUCCACACAGUCCGAGCACCCCAACGCCAAAGAGUGCGACCGGUGCCUCUGCAGUUGUCGGUACCAUAUCUAGCUGCCAACCAAACUGUUGGAAAAUUAGGCAAUUUAUUAAUGAUUAAUUUCGACAUAUAA